rnacentral:rRNA from 1 species
UACGUAGGGCGCAAGCGUUAUCCGGAAUUAUUGGGCGUAAAGAGCUCGUAGGCGGUUUGUCGCGUCGGCCGUGAAAUCUCCACGCUUAACGUGGAGCGUGCGGUCGAUACGGGCAGACUUGAGUUCGGUAGGGGAGACUGGAAUUCCUGGUGUAGCGGUGAAAUGCGCAGAUAUCAGGAGGAACACCGGUGGCGAAGGCGGGUCUCUGGGCAGUAACUGACGCUGAGGAGCGAAAGCGUGGGGAGCGAACAGG